AUUGAACGCUGGCGGCAGGCCUAACACAUGCAAGUCGAGCGGAAGCAGGGAACUUGCUCCUGGAUUCAGCGGCGGACGGGUGAGUAAUGCCUAGGAAUCUGCCUGGGAGUGGGGGAUAACGUCCGGAAACGGGCGCUAAUACCGCAUCCGUCCUGAGGGAGAAAGUGGGGGAUCGUCGGACCUCACGCUAUCAGAUGAGCCUAGGUCGGAUUAGCUAGUUGGUGGGGUAAAGGCCUACCAAGGCGACGAUCCGUAACUGGUCUGAGAGGAUGAUCAGUCACACUGGAACUGAGACACGGUCCAGACUCCUACGGGAGGCAGCAGUGGGGAAUAUUGGACAAUGGGCGAAAGCCUGAUCCAGCCAUGCCGCGUGUGUGAAGAAGGUCUUCGGAUUGUAAAGCACUUUAAGUUGGGAGGAAGGGCAGUAAGUUAAUACCUUGCUGUUUUGACGUUACCAACAGAAUAAGCACCGGCUAACUUCGUG
rnacentral:rRNA from 1 species